rnacentral:rRNA from 1 species
UACGUAGGGUGCGAGCGUUGUCCGGAAUUAUUGGGCGUAAAGGGCUCGUAGGCGGUUUGUCACGUCAGGAGUGAAAACUCGGGGCUCAACCCCGAGCCUGCUUCUGAUACGGGCAGACUAGAGGUAUGCAGGGGAGAACGGAAUUCCUGGUGUAGCGGUGAAAUGCGCAGAUAUCAGGAGGAACACCGGUGGCGAAGGCGGUUCUCUGGGCAGUACCUGACGCUGAGGAGCGAAAGUGUGGGGAGCGAACAGG